UCAAUUUCUUCACCUUAUUCGUGAAACGUUCGAACUGCUACGCGAGGAGAUCACCGGCGAUCUAUCGGUUUCGCGUCUCCGGCGUAGAAACAGCGA